UACAGAGGUCUCAAGCGUUGUUCGGAUUCAUUGGGCGUAAAGGGCGCGUAGGCGGCGGGGUCAGUCGGGUGUGAAAUCUUGGGGCUUAACCCCGAAACGGCACUCGAAACUGCCCGGCUGGAGGGCCGGAGAGGAGAUCGGAAUUCACGGUGUAGCAGUGAAAUGCGUAGAGAUCGUGAGGAAGACCCGUGGCGAAGGCGGAUCUCUGGACGGCUAAAACUGACGCUGAGGCGCGAAGGCCAGGGGAGCGAACGGG
rnacentral:rRNA from 1 species